GAUGAACGCUGGCGGCGUGCCUAAUACAUGCAAGUCGAGCGCCCCUUUAAGAGAAGAUAAUCGAAUGAUUGUCUCUUCCUAUGGGGAGCGGCGGACGGCUGAGUAACGCGUGGGAACGUGCCCCAAAGUGAGGGAUAAGCACCGGAAACGGUGUCUAAUACCGCAUAUGAUCUUCGGAUUAAAGCUUUAUGCGCUUUGGGAGCGGCCUGCGUCCUAUUAGAUAGUUGGUGAGGUAAAGGCUCACCAAGUCAACGAUGGGUAGCUGGUCUGAGAGGAUGACCAGCCAGACUGGAACUGAGACACGGUCCAGACUCCUACGGGAGGCAGCAGUAAGGAAUCUUCCACAAUGGGGGCAACCCUGAUGGAGCAACGCCGCGUGCAGGAUGAAGGCCCUCGGGUCGUAAACUGCUUUUAUGAGUGAAGAAUAUGACGGUAACUCAUGAAUAAGGGUCGGCUAACUACGUGCCAGCAGCCGCGGUCAUACGUAGGACCCAAGCGUUAUCCGGAGUGACUGGGCGUAAAGAGUUGCGUAGGUGGCUUGUAAAGUGAAUGGUGAAAUCUGGGGGCUCAACCUCCAGGCUAUUAUUCAAACUCACAAGCUCGAGAACAGCAGAGGUAACUGGAAUUUCUGAAGUAGGGGUAAUAUCCGUAGAUAUCAGAAGGAACACCAAUGGCGUAGGCAGGUUACUGGGCUGUUUCUGACACUGAGGCACGAAAGCGUGGGGAGCGAACCGGAUUAGAUACCCGGGUAGUCCACGCCGUAAACGAUGGAUACUAGCUGUUGGAGGUAUCGACCCCUUCAGUAGCGAAGCUAACGCGUUAAGUAUCCCGCCUGUGGAGUACGGUCGCAAGACUAAAACAUAAAGGAAUUGACGGGGACCCGCACAAGCGGUGGAUUAUGUUCUUUAAUUCGAUGCUAACCGAAGAACCUUACCAGGGUUUGACAUCCCGAGAAUUACUCCGAAAGGAGUGAGUGCUUUAUUGAACUCGGUGACAGAUGUUGCAUGGCCGUCGUCAGCUCGUGUCGUGAGAUGUUUGGUUAAGUCCAUCAACGAGCGCAACCCUUGUGAUUAGUUGUAUUUUUCUAAUCAGACUGCCCCGGCAACGGGGAGGAAGGAGGGGAUGAUGUCAGGUCAGUAUUACUCUUACAUCCUGGGCUAGAAACGUAAUACAAUGGCUGGUACAAUGCGCAGCGAAGCCGCGAGGUGAAGCAAAUCGCACCAAAGCCAGUCCCAGUUCGGAUUGGAGGCUGAAACUCGCCUCCAUGAAGUCGGAAUCGCUAGUAAUCGCAGGUCAGCAAACUGCGGUGAAUACGUUCCCGGGUCU
rnacentral:rRNA from 1 species